rnacentral:pre_miRNA from 1 species
UUUGUACUCCCUCCAUCCCAAAAUUCUUGUCUUAAAUUUGUCUAAAUACGGAUGUAUCUAGUUACAUUUUAGUGUUAGAUACAUCUAUAUCUAAACAAAUGUAAGACAAGAAUUUUGGGACGGAGGGAAUACUAC